ACGAACGCUGGCGGCGUGCUUAACACAUGCAAGUCGAACGAAGAGCGACGGAAGCUUGCUUCUAUCAAUCUUAGUGGCGAACGGGUGAGUAACGCGUAAUCAACCUGCCCUUCAGAGGGGGACAACAGUUGGAAACGACUGCUAAUACCGCAUACGAUCUAAUCUCGGCAUCGAGGAUGGAUGAAAGGUGGCCUCUACAUGUAAGCUAUCACUGAAGGAGGGGAUUGCGUCUGAUUAGCUAGUUGGAGGGGUAACGGCCCACCAAGGCGAUGAUCAGUAGCCGGUCUGAGAGGAUGAACGGCCACAUUGGGACUGAGACACGGCCCAGACUCCUACGGGAGGCAGCAGUGGGGAAUCUUCCGCAAUGGACGAAAGUCUGACGGAGCAACGCCGCGUGAGUGAUGACGGCCUUCGGGUUGUAAAGCUCUGUUAAUCGGGACGAAAGGCCUUCUUGCGAAUAGUGAGAAGGAUUGACGGUACCGGAAUAGAAAGCCACGGCUAACUACGUG
rnacentral:rRNA from 1 species